AGAUAAAGGCAAACCUCUCGAAAGAUUGGGACGCAAAGUUACAGGUCUAAGGUUCUAAACUAGGAUGGCUGUGCUGCC
rnacentral:ncRNA from 1 species